UUAGAACAUACCAUAAUUAUCCAGAAGUAUGCAGUGUCAUAACUACAUCUCUGACGUUUAUAACAAACCAACCCGUUUACAAAUCUGUUGCAAAUUGAGCAAGUUAUGGUUAAUUAAAAAGUACAUGUACCACCAACACAAUGUUAUGGGUGAGCGAGCUGCCUGUAGCAAGAUGGCCGCCCUGUGCGGACGUUCUAGACCCAGUUGGUCGGCAGCGCCUUUAUAUAUAUAUCUAUGGUUUGUGGCGUCACGUCGCAAUGACUUAAGACAAUGAGGGUUUACAACUUCGCGGGGCGGACACAAAACGGCCGGACGCGCGCGCUCUCUCCCCUGGCGCGAGCGCCGCGUGCGCGCAUACACGGACAUAUGCGUGCACGUGUUGGGGCGGAACUGUCAACACAAGCAGAACCAGAGAGGAAGAAACCCCGAGAACUACACCGAGCGAGGCAGAAGAACCAGCUUCACUUUUGACCGAGGGUCUCAGAGUGGA
ensembl:lncRNA